UACGGGGGGGCAAGCGUUGUUCGGAAUUACUGGGCGUAAAGGGCGCGUAGGCGGCCUGCUAAGUCGGAUGUGAAAUCCCUCGGCUCAACCGGGGAACUGCGUGUGAGACUGGAAGGCUUGAGUAUGGGAGAGGUAAGCGGAAUUCCUGGUGUAGCGGUGAAAUGCGUAGAUAUCAGGAGGAACACCUGCGGUGUAGACGGCUUACUGGACCAUAACUGACGCUGAGGCACGAAAGCCAGGGGAGCGAACGGG
rnacentral:rRNA from 1 species